rnacentral:rRNA from 1 species
UAUGGCGGUUAUAGCGGUGGUGAUCACCUCUUCCCAUUCCGAACAGAGAAGUUAAGCCCACCAGCGCCGAUGAUACUCGCCCCAAAAGGGAGGGGAAAGUAGGUCGCCGCCAAGC